GACGAACGCUGGCGGCGUGCUUAACACAUGCAAGUCGAACGGUGAAGGGAUCAGCUUGCUGGUUCUGGAUGAGUGGCGAACGGGUGAGUAACACGUGAGUAACCUGCCCCCUUCUUCUGGAUAACCGCAUGAAAGUGUGGCUAAUACGGGAUAUUCUGCGCCUGCUGCAUGGUGGGUGUGGGAAAGAUAUUGUGUCGGUGGGGGAUGGGCUCGCGGCCUAUCAGCUUGUUGGUGGGGUGAUGGCCUACCAAGGCGGUGACGGGUAGCCGGCCUGAGAGGGGGGACGGUCACACUGGGACUGAGACACGGCCCAGACUCCUACGGGAGGCAGCAGUGGGGAAUAUUGCACAAUGGGCGCAAGCCUGAUGCAGCGACGCCGCGUGAGGGAUGGAGGCCUUCGGGUUGUGAACCUCUUUCGCCAGUGAAGCAGGCCUGUCCCUUGUGGGUGGGUUGACGGUAGCUGGAGAAGAAGCGCCGGCUAACUACGUG
rnacentral:rRNA from 1 species